rnacentral:rRNA from 1 species
GUGGCGAACGGGUGAGUAACACGUGAGCAAUCUGCCCUUGACUCUGGGAUAACUGCGGGAAACUGUAGCUAAUACCGGAUAUUACCUUGGAAGGCAUCUUCUGGGGUGGAAAGAAUUUUGGUCAAGGAUGAGCUCGCGGCCUAUCAGCUAGUUGGUGAGGUAAUGGCUCACCAAGGCGACGACGGGUAGCCGGCCUGAGAGGGUGACCGGCCACACUGGGACUGAGACACCGCCCAGACUCCUACGGGAGGCAGCAGUGGGGAAUAUUGCACAAUGGGCGCAAGCCUGAUGCAGCAACGCCGCGUGAGGGACGACGGCCUUCGGGUUGUAAACCUCUUUUAGUAGUGAAGAAGCGACUGGGUUUUCCUGGGAGUGACGGUACCUGCAGAAAAAGCACCGGCUAACUACGUGCCAGCAGCCGCGGUAAUACGUAGGGUGCAAGCGUUGUCCGGAAUUAUUGGGCGUAAAGAGCUCGUAGGCGGUUUGUCGCGUCUGCUGUGAAAACCCGAGGCUCAACCUCGGGCCUGCAGUGGGUACGGGCAGACUAGAGUGCGGUAGGGGAGAUUGGAAUUCCUGGUGUAGCGGUGGAAUGCGCAGAUAUCAGGAGGAACACCAAUGGCGAAGGCAGAUCUCUGAGCCGUAACUGACGCUGA